rnacentral:rRNA from 1 species
UACGUAGGGUGCGAGCGUUGUCCGGAAUUAUUGGGCGUAAAGAGCUCGUAGGCGGUGUGUCACGUCGAUCGUGAAAACUUGGGGCUUAACCCUGAGCUUGCGGUCGAUACGGGCAUCACUGGAGUUCGGCAGGGGAGACUGGAAUUCCCGGUGUAGCGGUGAAAUGCGCAGAUAUCGGGAGGAACACCGGUGGCGAAGGCGGUUCUCUGGGCCUUACCUGACGCUGAGGAGCGAAAGCGUGGGGAGCGAACAGG